AGUCACUGACAUUAGAUACCCGUGUAGUCCAGGGUGUAAACGCUGCAGACUUGGUGUUGGAGGCCCGUUUGGGGGCAUUCAGUGCCGGAGAGAAGUUGUUAAGUCUGCUACGUUGGGGAGUACGUCCGCAAGGAUGAAAACUUAAAGGAAUUGGCGGGGGAGCACCGCAACGGGAGGAGCGUGCGGUUUAAUUGGAUUCAACACCGUAAAACUCACCAGGGAAGACUGUUACAUGAAGGCCGAGAUGAAGACUCUGCUAGAUUUUCAG
rnacentral:rRNA from 1 species